UAUCCCCUGCGGUGUUUGUAACGGUCAGCCGUUCUUUGAACCAAUGCUUUAUGCACGGCUGCCAGUUUCGGAGACUGGUGUUCGCUUCACCCUUGGAAGCGUCUAAAAGUCUCGUUAGGCGGCCACUCUUGAACCCAGGUUCAAGAAAGCGAUCGGACGGCACAGGUGGGGGACCC
rnacentral:other from 1 species